ACCGGCGGGCGUGGCGCCCCGCUGUGAUCUGAGCUUCAGAGGUCGGCUGUGGGGCGAGGCCCAGGGGCCCGCAGGGGCUGAGGCGACGGAAGGGUGUCGAUCCGCCCUGGCAGCGCCGCAGGCCCCGGCGGGGCCCCCUGGAAGGGGGGCGUCGCCGGGGAUGAUGGCGGCGGAACGCCUGAGGCUGGAAACAGAACGAGGAAAAGCGGCCACUGGGGCGCAGUGCCAGGAUUACGGGUCCACUGGUCACCGAACGCAGCUGGGGCCCCAACCUCCACACACAGCUUU
rnacentral:SRP_RNA from 1 species